rnacentral:rRNA from 1 species
UACGUAGGUGGCAAGCGUUGUCCGGAUUUAUUGGGUUUAAAGGGUGCGUAGGUGGUUUAUUAAGUCAGUGGUGAAAGACGAUAGCUUAACUAUCGAGGUGCCAUUGAUACUGAUGAACUUGAGUGCACACGAGGUAAGCGGAAUGGACGGUGUAGCGGUGAAAUGCAUAGAUAUCGUCCAGAACACCGAUAGUGAAGACAGCUUACCAGAGUGCAACUGACGCUGAGGCACGAAAGUGUGGGGAUCAAACAGG